rnacentral:lncRNA from 1 species
GUGGAAAAGAAAAGUUGGUGUUCAAGAACUUGUAUAUAUGUUUUGAUACGUUAAAAAUGGGUCAAAAAAUUUGUUGCAAAUUGAUUAUUAGGCUCGAUCCACAUUCUCUAAAGACGGAAGUUAUUACUUUUUUUUGUUGUCUUAAUUUUUUAUUUUUUAUUUUUUAUUUUAUUUUUUUUAUAUUUUAAUAUUUUAUUUCAAUUGUUAUGUUGGUAGGGAAUUAUUGAAGAAGUAGAUGAGUUACCACCACUUGUCAAGCAUAAACAUUGUGUUCGACACAUCUACUCUAAUUAGACAAAGAAGUGGAAAUGAAGAGCUAAAAGUACAAAUAGGACAUUUCAAGACAUAUAGUAGUGCUCGAUAACGUAGCUGAAGGAUCAAUUAAUGAUGCAGUUAAGACUAGCCCGAAAGGUAAGUUAAAGCUUUCUUCAAUAUAGGACAGAUGUUACAUAGUAGAUAACAACUUAGCGAAGACGUCCAAUUCAUUGAUUUUGGAACCUAGAUACAAGUCUGUGAUUAGUGUGCUUGAUGAUAUUAAGGCAACAUAUAUGAUUAAACUACAUAUAAAGAGAAAGUUGAUCGAGAAGUGGGUUACCAACAUUUACACCAAAAGUUACAAUGAGGCUUUAGAAAGCGAAGGUCGAUUCAUGCCAAUUUCAUGGAAUGGUAACAAGGGUUUUAAGGUCCAAUUAGGAGAUGAACAACAUAUAGUCCAUUCCGAGACAUGAUGUCCUC